GAGGAAAAGAAACUAACAAGGAUUCCCCUAGUAACGGCGAGUGAACCGGGAAGAGCUCAAAUUUGAAAUCUGGCGUCCUCAGGGCGUCCGAGUUGUAAUCUAUAGAGGCGUUUUCCGUGCCGGACCGUGUCCAAGUUCCUUGGAACAGGAUAUCAAAGAGGGUGACAAUCCCGUACUUGACACGACGACCGGUGCUCUGUGAUACGUCUUCUACGAGUCGAGUUGUUUGGGAAUGCAGCUCAAAAUGGGUGGUGAGUUCCAUCUAAAGCUAAAUAUUGGCGAGAGACCGAUAGCGAACAAGUACCGUGAGGGAAAGAUGAAAAGCACUUUGGAAAGAGAGUUAAACAGUACGUGAAAUUGUUGAAAGGGAAACGAUUGAAGUCAGUCGUGACCGAGAGGCUCAGCCGGUUCUGCCGGUGUAUUCCCCUCGGUCGGGUCAACAUCAGUUUUGUCCGGUGGAUAAGGGCGGUAGGAAGGUGGCACCCUCGGGUGUGUUAUAGCCUGCCGUCGCAUACAUCGGGUGAGACUGAGGAACGCAGCUCGCCUUUAUGGCCGGGGUUCGCCCACGUCCGAGCUUAGGAUGUUGACAUAAUGGCUUUAAACGACCCGU
rnacentral:rRNA from 1 species